GCUAGUGGUCGACCACUUGAGCCACAGCGCCACUUCUGGCUUUUUCUGUGUAUGUGGUACUAAGGAGUGGAACCCAGGGCUUCAUGCAUGCUAGGCCAGCACCCUAACGCCAAGCCACAGUCCCAGUCCUUCCAUGAGACUCUUAUCUCCAAUUAACCAC